rnacentral:lncRNA from 1 species
AACUUCAUUCAUAGGUUGAACAAUGGCAUAAUGCCAAUACAUAAACCAAGCAAUUUGCUUGUCAAAAUCUGCAUAAUGAUACCUAAUCAUCACCUACUACCACUAAUACAUUGAAACUUGAAAAACUAAGCUUGAACACUUAAACAAAGCUGACUUAACAACUUAAUUGUCAUCAAAAUACAUCAAUCAUAAACCUAACAUAGUUCUAAAUGAACUAAAGUACAUUACAUUAAC